GGAACCUGAGCUGGAUCUCAUGCGGGCUUGGUUGGUUCCACCGUCGCCGCCGCCGUUUCCAACCGCCAUCCGAGGUGAGCCUCGUAUUCCUCACCUCCCCCGCACCCAUCCCUGGCCCCCCCGCGCGCCGAGGUGCCGCCGGAAGCCAGCCGGAGCAAACUUGCUCCGGCCAAGCCCGAAAUAGGGCUUAUUUUGGAUGGGUUACUGUUCCGAGCUUUCGGAGCCUCCCCGAUCUCUACGGAAGGGAGCACGAUGAUCGUAGCAAAUUUCUGAUCAUCGUGCUCACCNUCGCGCGCCUUGGGCGCCACCGUCCCAGCCUGCAGACCGAGCCAAGCUCGGGCGGCCACACCCGUGCCGCGGGCCGCUGCCGCUGUCGCCCGCCGCCUCCUUCCUCCUCCUACGGCCUCUGGAAACCCGCCGCCGAUGUCCCCGACCUGCCCCAGCCGCCGUCGGGGCCGCAGCUACUCUGGAACCUGAGCCGGAUCUCGUGCGGGCUUGGUUGGUUCCACCGUCGCCGCCGCCAUUUCCAACCGCUAUCCGAGGUGAACCUCGUAUUCCUCACCUCCCCCGCACCCAUCCCUGGCCCCCGCGCGCGCCGCCGUGCCGCCGGAAGCCGGCCGGAGCAAACUUGCUCCGGCCAAGCCCGAAUAGGGCUUAUUUUGGAUGGGUUA
rnacentral:lncRNA from 1 species